GUGGAGCCAAAAGAGAAGGAAUAAGGCUGUAGUUGUGUGGAUGAAGAUUCGGAACAGAACUGGAACAAGUUGCACUGUGAUGGACGUGUGCAAACAAGCAAGCUCUGCGCUGAGAAGAUUAAAAGGCCCAAUUUGGCAAAGGACAAAGAAUGCUCAGGUACAGAUUCAUCCCCUCUAACCGCACAGGUUAGGAGCCUACUCAGCCUCCACUCGCUAUAUAAUCAAUGAAGAGACAGACAUCUCCAGAAGUGUGAUACAAUACUCCCACUACGAAAAAUGCUGUGUGGUUUCCUAUUCCUCCUCUUUCAGUGCUUUUGGACAACUGAUGCAUGUCAGCUGUGUUCAAGAACUACACCAGAUCUUUCUAAUCCCAGUGCAAGAUUUCAUGGUCAAAUUCCUUGCUUUAGAGCUGGGCUCUGACCUCCUCCAGCUAUCUGCACAACAUGAUCUCUCUGAACAGCAGAAAUCAAAUGUAUUUUGCUGGAGGGUGACUUACCAAGCAAAGCACAUUAAAUCACUCUGCUUCCAAGGGAGAGUGAAGCAGCAGAUAUAUAUCCAUGCUGGAGAGAAUUCUGAAGGUUUAAGAAGAACCAGUGUUUUGGCCCUCGGGCAUUUCCCUUACCUGCUUAGGAGAGCCUACAGCCAAUACUGACUUGGUUACAAAUGUGAAAGCACCGUUUGUAUGAAUACCACAGAUGCUCUUAUUUCUGAGGAACGAGAAGCAAUUCUAUGGCCUGAUUCUCGUGAUGCUGAUUUUUAAAACAGAUCAAACAUGGAAACAGCAGGGGAAAAAAUCAAAGAUGUAUUUCCUAUUUAAUAUAGGCUCUUGGAUGGAGUAACCAUCCAGAAUUAGAUUUCAGAAGCAUGAUCCCUUUUCUUUGCAGAACGAAACAUUAUAGACUUAUGAUACCAGGGGAAAAAGCUGGCUCUCCUAGUGCAUGCUCUGUUGUAUAAAGUACUCAGGCUGCUGAUUAAUCUAUGGGAGUUGGUAAUCAUUUGACUCUGGAUAUUUUGUUCAAAUGUUUUUUUUCAGUGAUUCAUGAAGCCCUUAUCGGAAUUCAAAAAGCACUUCAUGAAUCAACCAGGAGCUUAAAAAAAAAAUUAGCAGUAAUGAGCUCAUUUCCAUAGAAAUAGGACUAGGCUCACUGGUGGGUCAAACUGUUUUCUGCACUUCCACUUUCCAGUAUUUUCCUCAAUUCUUCUAUGUUUAUUUCAUGCAUCAUUAUCUUCCAUUUUCUGUAUAACUAAACCAUGCCAUUUGGCUUUUUGUUCUCUAACCAGCAACUGCCACUUCAAGGUAUUUCAAAAUGGUGGUAAAAAAUUGUCAUCCAUAUUUCACUCAAGAAACUUUAAAAUUCAUUGUCAUCUUGAAACUCAUUAUUCAUGACAGUUUCCUCAAUAGGUUACAAAUCAUAGUUUGAAGUAGUCUUGAGCAAAAAUUUAUAAUGCACAAGCCUCUCCAUUCCUGCUGGAUUAGUAAUGUGUUUUAAUGAUAUUGCAUUUGUAUUCUUUCAGUUUUCUUUCAUGAGACAUCAAAGAAGCAACAGAAUGUAUCUUUCAUAUUCCAGACAUACCACAAUACUUCAGUGUUUUCCAUUCCUUCAGAUUCACUGCUAACCAAGAUGAAAGCUAAGGUCUUGUGAGCAAAACCUAAGCCAUCUGAAAAGAAAUGGUAUCCCUUUGAGGUUCUCAAUUUGUUGGAAAGAGGGAAUUGCUUACAGUUUUAUACACCACAGCAUAAGACUUGUUUUGGCAGGUUCCAGAGAAGUAAUCUUGUGGUCACAUUCAACAGGCCAGUGUAGAAGAUCACAUGCUGGUGCUGGAGAUGUUCAGAUUGUUUCAUGGGCUCUUAUCCAGGAGAUGAAGAAGAAACAAGAAAAAACAUUCUAUGGCUUGAAAUCAUAUACACAGAAUUCCUGCUGAAGGCUAUGCAUAUUGUUAAGGAAAAAUAGAAAAGAUUGUAAUAAUCAGAAGAGGGAACUGGCUUGUGAAUGGACUGGAUUUGCUUGUCCAUAUCUGUGUGUAUGAUGUAACUGUAA